GACGAACGCUGGCGGCGUGCUUAACACAUGCAAGUCGAACGGAAAGGCCCUGCUUUUGUGGGGUGCUCGAGUGGCGAACGGGUGAGUAACACGUGAGUAACCUGCCCUUGACUUUGGGAUAACUUCAGGAAACUGGGGCUACUACCGGAUAGGAGCUCCUGCUGCAUGGUGGGGGUUGGAAAGUUUCGGCGGUUGGGGAUGGAAUCGCGGCUUAUCAGCUUGUUGGUGGGGUAGUGGCUUACCAAGGCUUUGACGGGUAGCCGGCCUGAGAGGGUGACCGGCCACAUUGGGACUGGGAUACGGCCCAGACUCCUACGGGAGGCAGCAGUGGGGAAUAUUGCACAAUGGGCGGAAGCCUGAUGCAGCAACGCCGCGUGCGGGAUGACGGCCUUCGGGUUGUAAACCGCUUUCGCCUGUGACGAAGCGUGAGUGACGGUAAUGGGUAAAGAAGCACCGGCUAACUACGUG
rnacentral:rRNA from 1 species